CUGCAGUGAUGGCUUCCUCAGGACACCUUUGGACAAGCCAUGACAACAACCAUGCUCUGAGCAGC
rnacentral:snoRNA from 1 species